GUUCUAAAUCAGUCUUAAAUCUGAAUUUCAGCCAAAUUUUCUGGUUAUUUGAUUUUGUCGUAGUUAGAUGAGUCUUUAGUUUCCAUGGGGAAAAGGGCAGUCUCUCUUAACCAGGGGCCGGAGCCCAACAAGACAGCGCCUGGUAGUUACAAUGGACCUGUAAACAUGGGAAAACGACGAAUCUCAAGAAAGCUUAUUUCUUUGAAAGACGUGAAGUAAAAAGGAGUCGGAAGUGGCAACUAACCCAUCGCUGACGAGUGAUGACCAGUACUUUGAAAACCUGAGAUCAGGCUGAAAGACAGCCAAGAAAAGUGGCCUGCAUAUCCUGUUGUUUAGAAAUUAUGCUUGUGUAGAAAUAAAACGUAACUAAAAAUCUGUAUUUUUGUUUAUGUUAUAUGAAAUAUCGAACGUGUAAAGAAAAUCCAUCGAGACAAGCAUACCCUCGCAAAAGAGGUCGCCCUCAUUUUCAGCGUGUGCUUAUAACCUAGUGAGAGGUUUGGCGACCGUACAUCUCGCUUGUUAGCCAGUUAAACCAGAUGGUGCGGUUAGAGUUGGCCGAGGCUGUAGGGCAAAGCACGUUUAUGUAGCUCUCUUAGCGCCCCUCGCAGGGAACCCACGAUCUGUGACAGAAACCUAACUAAAAGCCUGCUACCUUGUGUUGGACUAGAACCACAUCCUGGGACAGUAGCAAUACUAGCAGUCGUUUUAUCCCACGGAAACUCGGAUAGGUUUCGCUAAUGUGAACCAGUCGACCCAAUAAUAACUUUGACUUUUAGCUAAAAGAAAACACAAUUUCGUAUUAUUGACACCAGAAGAAUUUAAACUUCUAGCGGUCGCAACUUCAUAUCACGCUAUGUUAUAAAAGGAAUUAUUCACAAACGGCUUGGGGAUCGAAGAAAAGAUGCGUGACACUUGCAGUUAAAUAGCUUAUAGGUUGAUAUUAUAGGCCGGAGAUUAUCCCGGUUUCAGUAGCAUUAAGCGACUAGAAGUAUUGCUACUCCCACGUGGAUGGGAUGCUAGU